UUACUAUAAUUCGAAUCAGAUUUGAAAGAAUUAUAAUUGUUGUCAGGUAGCAAAAUGAAAUUCUCAUCGAUUUUUUUGUUAUUCACCCUUGUAGUGGUGUAUAUUGUAUCAGCCAUCAAUUCUUCUCCAGUGGAAAAAAAUAAUUUGGAAGGAUUGCAAGUACAGGACAACGACAAAUGCUCUUUUGAUGGACAGUGUAAGAUAUAUUGCAUAAUGAAACAUCCCUCCUAUGAUAAUUACAAAUGCGUCAAUGGAAGAUGCGACUGCUUUUGAGGAAUUGUUUUUAAUGUCUCUUCUGAAGUGAAUUACAUAUAAGUUCAAUUAUCAUUCAUACAAUACAUAUUUAUUCAUUCACA